GACGAACGCUGGCGGCGUGCCUAAUACAUGCAAGUAGAACGCUGACGGAGGAGCUUGCUUCUCUGGCUGAGUUGCGGACGGGUGAGUAACGCGUAGGUAACCUGUCUGGUAGCGGGGGAUAACUUUUGGAAACGAAAGCUAAUACCGCAUAAGAGUAGAUGUUGCAUGACAUUCGCUCAAAAGGUGAACUUGUAUCUAUACCAGAUGCCUAUGCGUUGUACUAGCUAGUUGGUGGGGUAACGGCUCAACAAGGACACGAUACAUAGCCGACGUGAAAGGGUGAGCGGCCACACUGGGACGGGAGCACGGCCCAGACUCCUACGGGUGGCAGCAGUAGGGGAUCUUCAGCGAAGGACGGAAGGCUGACCGAUCAACGCCGCGUGAGUGAAGGAGGGAUUCAGGUCGGAAAAGUCAUUUAGAAGAGAAGAACGAGUAUCAGAGUUAAAAGUUCACACUAUGACGGUACCGGACCAAAAAGCGACGGCUAACUACGUG
rnacentral:rRNA from 1 species